CAGAAUAUACCAAUAUAUAGGAUAAUAAGUCAGACAUGAGGAUAUUACCGGCUAAAACAUUUCGAUCUUGAUACUCUUUCUACUCCAUUAUUACAAAGAUCCUUGCCUGUUCCCUAGAUGUAUAUCCCCGCUAUUGUUUUGCGUUACCCUAUUUCUACUAUGUAUUCUCCUAUUUAUUUUAUACAUUCUCAUGUUUCUGUUUUUCGUUCUCAAUUUGUUUGUUCUUAGGGCAAAACAUGGCGAUAUGUCCUCGUUCUCGACAUCGAAAACAUGCAUUUGUUCCCAAAAGAUAAGCUCCCUAAUGGUGUUUCUGGCACUAGCCACAAAUUUGAAAACUCUUAUUGCCAUCUCGAGAUGAAUCUCUUUUACCCUUCUUUAAAAAGUUCUAAUUUCCUUUGCCCUUAUUAUCUACCCACUUUCAUUUUUCCAACUGCCUAUAUUGCUGCAUAUUCUCUCCACCUAUGCUUUUGCUAGCACCUCAUGGUAAGUUCUCAGUUCAAGCACUACCAUAGCCUGACUCAAAUGAUCCCUCAAACUCUGUUCAAAAUGUCUUGCCUUCUUUUCCUCGAUGUCCACAAAAGUAGGGACAUAAUGAGAUGAGUCUUCAAACUUAUGCUCAUAUUUAGUUAAUGACAUUGAGCCUUGAGUCAACGUGAGAAACUCCAUUUCCUUUCGAUUUCAAACACUCAUAAGGUAAUACUUGUUCAAAAAAGAUUCCUUGAACUUGUUCCACAUUCAAACUUGACAGCAAACCCUGAACCUUGCAGUUGAUUGCCACUAGCAUCUAGCACCUUUUUGCAGCACAAAGUUUGCCUAUAUAACUCUUUUGGGAUCCGGGUAAGUAAUGAGUUCAAGGAUUCUUUCUAUGCUUACCAACCAGUCUUCUACUCCCAAAGGGUCUAUGCUAACACUAAAAGUCGAAGGAUGUUAUUUCUUGAAUUGCUUUACAAUCACAACAGUGAUUCUAGAGUGUACUAUCACUUCUUGAGGCGGAUGAGGUUGUUGUGGCACAAGUGGUGGUGUCGGUUGCUGAGGAGGUGGUGGUGUCGGCAUAGUUUAAUCGAGAGUUUGCAUCAUGGUCAGAAAUUACUGGGCAAGUUGUGGGUCAAUCGCAAUAGGUUGUGGUUGUUAAGGUUGUUGGGGUUGUUCAUUUUUAUUAUUUGCUCUUCUACAUUGAGGUACCAUAUGUUUAAGUAAAAUAUAAUUAAGGAAAUUAAAGACUGCACGAGAAGAGAGCAAUAACAUUUUUUAUUCA
rnacentral:lncRNA from 1 species